rnacentral:sRNA from 1 species
GCCAGGCAUGGUGGAGCAUGCCUGUAAUCCCAGCAACUUGGGAGCCUGAGGCAGGAAGAUCACAAGUUUGAGGCCUGUUUCAGCAACUUAGUGAGAACCUGUCUUAA